GGGGAAUUAGCUCAAAUGGUAGAGUGCUUGCUUAGCAUGUGAGAGGUAGUGGAAUCGAUGCCCACAUUCUCCA
rfam:Salmo salar isolate Sally breed double haploid chromosome ssa27, whole genome shotgun sequence.